AAUACGAAGGGACCUAGCGUAGUUCGGAAUUACUGGGCUUAAAGAGUUCGUAGGUGGUUGAAAAAGUUGGUGGUGAAAUCCCAGAGCUUAACUCUGGAACUGCCAUCAAAACUUUUCAGCUAGAGUAUGAUAGAGGAAAGCAGAAUUUCUAGUGUAGAGGUGAAAUUCGUAGAUAUUAGAAAGAAUACCAAUUGCGAAGGCAGCUUUCUGGAUCAUUACUGACACUGAGGAACGAAAGCAUGGGUMGCGAAGAGGAUUAGAUACCCUCGUAGUCCAUGCCGUAAACGAUGUGUGUUAGACGUUGGAAAUUUAUUUUCAGUGUCGCAGCGAAAGCGAUAAACACACCGCCUGGGGAGUACGACCGCAAGGUUAAAACUCAAAUGAAUUGACGGGGACCCGCACAAGUAGUGGAGCAUGUGGUUUAAUUCGAAGAUACGCGCAGAACCUUACCAACACUUGACAUGUUCGUCGCGACUUUAAGAGAUUAAAGUUUUCGGUUCGGCCGGACGAAACACAGGUGCUGCAUGGCUGUCGUCAGCUCGUGUCGUGAGAUGUUGGGUUAAGUCCCGCAACGAGCGCAACCCUCACUUUUAGUUGCCAUCAUUAAGUUGGGCACUCUGAAAGAACUGCCAGUGAUAAGCUGGAGGAAGGUGGGGAUGACGUCAAGUCCUCAUGGCCCUUACGUGUUGGGCUACACACGUGCUACAAUGGUAUCUACAACAGGAAGCAAGACGGCGACGUCAAGCAAAUCCUUAAAAGAUACCUCAGUUCGGAUUGCACUCUGCAACUCGAGUGCAUGAAGCUGGAAUUACUAGUAAUCGUGGAUCAGCGUGCCACGGUGAAUGCGUUCCCGGGUCUUGUACACACCGCCCGUCACACCAUGGGAGUUGGUUCUACCUUAAGGCAAGGUUUAAAACCCUUGACCACGGUAUAGUCAGC
rnacentral:rRNA from 1 species